CCUACGGGGGGCUGCAGGAGGGAAUAUUGCUCAAUGGGGGAAACCCUGAAGCAGCAACGCCGCGUGGAGGAUGAAGGUUUUCGGAUUGUAAACUCCUUUUGUUAGAGAAGACAAUGACGGUACCUAACGAAUAUUCACCGGCCAACUCCGUGCCAGCAGCCGCGGUAACACGGAGGGUGCAAGCGUUACUCGGAAUCACUGGGCGUAAAGAGCGCGUAGGCGGGAUAGCAAGUCAGAUGUGAAAUCCUAUGGCUUAACCGUAGAACUGCAUUUGAAACUGUUAUUCUAGAGUAUGGGAGAGGUAGGUGGAAUUCUUGGUGUAGAGGUGAAAUCCGUAGAGAUCAGGAGGAAUACUCAUUGCGAAGGCGACCUGCUAGAACAUAACUGACGCUGAUGCGCGAAAGCGUGGGGAGCAAACAGGAUUAGAUACCCGAGUAGUC
rnacentral:rRNA from 1 species